rnacentral:rRNA from 1 species
GACGAACGCUGGCGGCGUGCUUAACACAUGCAAGUCGAACGGUGAAGGGGUCUGCUUUUGUGGGCCCUGGAUGAGUGGCGAACGGGUGAGUAACACGUGAGUAACCUGCCCCCUUCUUCUGGAUAACCGCAUGAAAGUGUGGCUAAUACGGGAUAUUCUGGGUCUGUCGCAUGAUGGGUCUGGGAAAGAUUGCGCCUUUGGGUGUUUUUGGUGGGGGAUGGGCUCGCGGCCUAUCAGCUUGUUGGUGGGGUGAUGGCCUACCAAGGCGGUGACGGGUAGCCGGCCUGAGAGGGGGGACGGUCACACUGGGACUGAGACACGGCCCAGACUCCUACGGGAGGCAGCAGUGGGGAAUAUUGCACAAUGGGCGCAAGCCUGAUGCAGCGACGCCGCGUGGGGGAUGGAGGCCUUCGGGUUGUAAACCUCUUUCGCCAGUGAAGCAGGCCUGCUCCUUGUGGGUGGGUUGACGGUAGCUGGAGAAGAAGCGCCGGCUAACUACGUG